GACGAACGCUGGCGGCGUGCUUAACACAUGCAAGUCGAGCGGUAAGGCCCUUCGGGGUACACGAGCGGCGAACGGGUGAGUAACACGUGGGUGAUCUGCCCUGCACUUCGGGAUAAGCCUGGGAAACUGGGUCUAAUACCGGAUAUGACUACGGGAUGCAUGUCUUGUGGUGGAAAGAUUUAUCGGUGCAGGAUGGGCCCGCGGCCUAUCAGCUUGUUGGUGGGGUAAUGGCCUACCAAGGCGACGACGGGUAGCCGACCUGAGAGGGUGACCGGCCACACUGGGACUGAGACACGGCCCAGACUCCUACGGGAGGCAGCAGUGGGGAAUAUUGCACAAUGGGCGGAAGCCUGAUGCAGCGACGCCGCGUGAGGGAUGACGGCCUUCGGGUUGUAAACCUCUUUCGACAGGGACGAAGCGGAAGUGACGGUACCUGUAGAAGAAGCACCGGCCAACUACGUG
rnacentral:rRNA from 1 species